rnacentral:rRNA from 1 species
UACGUAGGGUGCAAGCGUUGUCCGGAAUUAUUGGGCGUAAAGAGCUCGUAGGCGGCUUGGCAAGUCGGGUGUGAAACCUCCAGGCUCAACCUGGAGACGCCACUCGAUACUGCUAUGGCUAGAGUCCGGUAGGGGACCACGGAAUUCCUGGUGUAGCGGUGAAAUGCGCAGAUAUCAGGAGGAACACCGGUGGCGAAGGCGGGUCUCUGGGCCGAUACUGACGCUGAGGAGCGAAAGCGUGGGGAGCGAACAGG